GAAACCAACAGGGAUUGCCUUAGUAACGGCGAGUGAAGCGGCAAUAGCUCAAAUUUGAAAUCUGGCGCUUGCGUCCGAGUUGUAAUUUGUAGAGGAUGAUUUUGGUUAGGUACCUUUCGAGUUCCUUGGAACAGGACGCCUUAGAGGGUGAGAGCCCCGUACGAUUGGAUGCCGAGCCUCUGUAAAUCUCCUUCGACGAGUCGAGUAGUUUGGGAAUGCUGCUCUAAAUGGGAGGUAAAUUUCUUCUAAAGCUAAAUACCGGCCAGAGACCGAUAGCGCACAAGUAGAGUGAUCGAAAGAUGAAAAGCACUUUGAAAAGAGGGUUAAAUAGCACGUGAAAUUGUUGAAAGGGAAGGAUUUAUGACCAGACUUUUUCUAGGAGAAUCAUCCGGUGUUCUCACCGGUGCACUUCUUUUAGUUUAGGCCAGCAUCGACUUUCGGCGGUGGAUAAAAGCUUUAGGAAUGUGGCUUCUCUCGGGAAGUGUUAAUAGCCUAUUGUAUAAUACACUGCUGGGGGUCGAGGUACGCGCUUCUGCAAGGAUGCUGGCGUAAUGGUUAUCAAUCACCCGUCUUGAAACACGGACCAAGGAGUCGAACAUUUGUGCGAGUGUUUGGGUGUUAAACCCUCACGCGUAAUGAAAGUGAACGGAGGUGAGAGCCCUUACGGGUGCAUCAUCGACCGAUCCUGAUGUUUUCGGAUGGAUUUGAGUAAGAGCAUAAAUGUUCGGACCCGAAAGAUGGUGAACUAUGCGUGGAUAGGGUGAAGCCAGAGGAAACUCUGGUGGAGGCUCGCAGCGGUUCUGACGUGCAAAUCGAUCGUCAAAUCUGCGCAUGGGGGCGAAAGACUAAUCGAACCAUCUAGUAGCUGGUUACCG
rnacentral:rRNA from 1 species